CGUAGGGGGCAAGCGUUAUCCGGAAUUAUUGGGCGUAAAGAGUGCGUAGGUGGUUUUGUAAGCGUGAGGUGAAAGGCAAUAGCUCAACUAUUGUAAGCCUUGUGAACUGCAAGACUUGAGUGCAGGAGAGGAAAGUGGAAUUCCUAGUGUAGCGGUGAAAUGCGUAGAUAUUAGGAGGAACACCAGUGGCGAAGGCGACUUUCUGGACUGUAACUGACACUGAGGCACGAAAGCGUGGGGAGCAAACAGGAUUAGAUACCCUGGUAGUCCACGCCGUAAACGAUGAGCACUAGGUGUCGGGGCCGCAAGGUUUCGGUGCCGCAGUUAACGCAUUAAGUGCUCCGCCUGGGGAGUACGCACGCAAGUGUG
rnacentral:rRNA from 1 species